rnacentral:rRNA from 1 species
ACGAACGCUGGCGGCAUGCCUAACACAUGCAAGUCGAACGCCCCGCAAGGGGAGUGGCGGACGGGUGAGUAACGCGUGGGAACCUGCACUUCAGUGGGGGAUAACGACGGGAAACUGUCGCUAAUACCGCAUACGCCCUACGGGGGAAAGAUUUAUCGCUGAAGGAUGGGCCCGCGUCGGAUUAGCUAGUUGGUGAGGUAACGGCUCACCAAGGCGACGAUCCGUAGCUGGUCUAAGAGGAUGAUCAGCCACACUGGGACUGAGACACGGCCCAGACUCCUACGGGAGGCAGCAGUGGGGAAUAUUGGACAAUGGGCGAAAGCCUGAUCCAGCAAUGCCGCGUGAGUGAUGAAGGCCUUAGGGUUGUAAAGCUCUUUUACCAGGGAAGAUGAUGACUGUACCUGGAGAAUAAGCCCCGGCUAACUCCGU